rnacentral:lncRNA from 1 species
GUAGCUUGCUGCACGGCGGCAGGUAUUUUCUUUUCUUUUUUAUUUUCUUUUGACGGUGCUCAUCACCGCCGAUUACACAUCCGACCGUGCAGGUCUCCAAACUAAUGGUGAUCUCCAAACUAAUGGUGAUGAAGGUUUUGGGAUCAAUGGUGAUGACCCAUCAUGUAAUAGUGAUUUAUGCUUGUACCUGGGCACAGGACACCUGUUCGGCUGUUCGCCGGGUUUGAUUAUGGAUGUUCACCACUUCCAAGCAUGAAGUACAUCGUAGUGAGCAAGGGCGAGGCCAUAUUUAAGUUCGGAAACGCGCCAUGGAACUUUGCUGUCGUGAGUGAAGUGGACAACAGUCGAUCAAUGCAAAGAGGAUCCUUUUCCUGCUUUGCCGUAUCUUUCUUGCCGAUGAUGCUACAGAACAUAACUGUAUCGCCGCUCAAUUUUGUUGUCUCCUAGUCAUCCUUGCACAUUAGUAUUGCCGUUUGCAUCCCCUUGUAACUUAUAAUUAAUCGCUGGCCACAUGAAUUGCCACAGUCACUUGGAAGCAGAUCCAAUACAGUUUUUUA